CAUUCACGGAGAGUUUGAUCCUGGCUCAGGACGAACGCUGGCGGCGUGCUUAACACAUGCAAGUCGAACGAUGAACCACCUUCGGGUGGGGAUUAGUGGCGAACGGGUGAGUAACACGUGGGCAAUCUGCCCUUCACUCUGGGACAAGCCCUGGAAACGGGGUCUAAUACCGGAUACUGACCUGCCAAGGCAUCUUGGCGGGUCGAAAGCUCCGGCGGUGAAGGAUGAGCCCGCGGCCUAUCAGCUUGUUGGUGAGGUAAUGGCUCACCAAGGCGACGACGGGUAGCCGGCCUGAGAGGGCGACCGGCCACACUGGGACUGAGACACGGCCCAGACUCCUACGGGAGGCAGCAGUGGGGAAUAUUGCACAAUGGGCGAAAGCCUGAUGCAGCGACGCCGCGUGAGGGAUGACGGCCUUCGGGUUGUAAACCUCUUUCAGCAGGGAAGAAGCGAAAGUGACGGUACCUGCAGAAGAAGCGCCGGCUAACUACGUGCCAGCAGCCGCGGUAAUACGUAGGGCGCAAGCGUUGUCCGGAAUUAUUGGGCGUAAAGAGCUCGUAGGCGGCUUGUCACGUCGG
rnacentral:rRNA from 1 species